GCCGAGGUGGCGGAAUUGGUAGACGCAGCGGACUUAAAAUCCGCUGGGGAUUUCUCCGUGUCGGUUCGAGUCCGACCCCCGGCA
rnacentral:tRNA from 1 species